AUGUCUCCGACGCCGCCGCUCUUCAGUUUGCCCGAAGCGCGGACGCGGUUUACGAAGUCUACCAGAGAGGCCUUGAACAACAAAAACAUCAAGCCAUUGUUAAGUACCUUCAGCCAGGUACCUGGCAGUGAAAAUGAAAAAAAAUGUACCCUUGACCAAGCUUUCAGAGGUAUUCUAGAAGAAGAAAUUGUAAGUAUGUUUUUCCAUUGUUAAAAUUUUACUGACAAAUUAAUAAACCAUGUUAUUUAAAAAUUGCUUUUUUUCUUAGAAUGGAUAUUUAAACAUCUUUUUUUAGAGUAACCUUUCUGCUUUGUAAAAGUUGACUUGAUGACUAUACGAUUUCUCUAAGGAUUUUGAUAGCACAGGUACAUUUUAAGGGUUUGGUUUAAUAAAUGACAAGAGCCCUCUCCAAGUGAGAUAAGAAAAGUUGACAUGAGGUCUUAGGAAGAACUAGAGGUGAAGGUGGGCUCUCUCACUUUCCUGUAUAAGCAGUGAUACAUCCUGUAGUGGCGCAAAAGGUCUAGUCCAAGAAUAUUUAGCUUAGGAGCUGGG
rnacentral:lncRNA from 1 species